rnacentral:rRNA from 1 species
GACGAACGCUGGCGGCGUGCUUAACACAUGCAAGUCGAACGGAAAGGCCCUGCUUUUGUGGGGCACUCGAGUGGCGAACGGGUGAGUAUCACGUGAGUAACCUGCCCUUGACUUUGGGAUAACUUCAGGAAACUGGGGCUAAUACCGGAUAGGAGCUCCUGCUGCAUGGUGGGGGUUGGAAAGUUUCGGCGGUUGGGGAUGGACUCGCGGCUUAUCAGCUUGUUGGUGGGGUAGUGGCUUACCAAGGCUUUGACGGGUAGCCGGCCUGAGAGGGUGACCGGCCACAGUGGGACUGAGAUACGGCCCAGACGCCUACGGGAGGCAGCAGUGGGGAAUAUUGCACAAUGGGCGGAAGCCUGAUGCAGCAACGCCGCGUGCGGGAUGAAGGACUUCGGGUUGUAGUCCGCUUUCGCCUGUGACGAAGCGUGAGUGACGGUAAUGGGUAAAGAAGCACCGGCUAACUACGUG